AUGGUCAACCCCACCAUGGUCUUCGAUAUUGCUGUCAACGACAAGCCCUUGGGCCGUAUCUCCUUUGAGCUGUUUGCAGACAAGUUUCCAAAGACAACAGAGAACUUUCAUGCUCUGAGCACUGGAGAGAAAAGAUUUGGGUGUAAGGGUUCCUGCUUUCACAGAAUUAUUCCAGGGUUUGUAUGUCAGGGUGGUGACUUCACAUGCCACACUGGUGGCACAUCCAUCUACAGGGAGAAAUUUGAUUGCAAGAACUUCAUCCUGAAGCAUAUAGGUCCUGGCAUCCUGUCCAUGGCAAAUGCUGGACCCAACACAAGUGGUUCCCAGUUUUCAUGUGCCCUGCCAAGACUGAGUGGUUGGAUGGCAAGCAUGUGGCCUUUGGCAUGGUGAAGGCAUGAAUAUUGUGGAGGCCAUGGAGCGCUUUGGGUCCAGGAAUGGCAAGACCAGCAAGAAGAUCACCAUUGCUAACUGUGGACAGCUCUACUAA
rnacentral:lncRNA from 1 species